AUAUCAGCAGUGAAAGACAAUAAAAUUGAUAGUAUUUUUUUUUAUUUUAAAAUUCAGAUACUGAUAUACAGAUUAAAAGUUAGGCCUGCAGUAUAUCAUUGUUAACCUUCUGAUAAAAAAAAUCAACAGCAAAAGAAGAUGUUAAAAAUAAAGUUUAUGGUUGUGAAUAAAAUUGAUUUCAAUAAUCUUUUUUAAUUAUUAUUUUAAAACAACUUUAUGUUGUUGUGUUUCACGCCAUAUUAUCAGACCACCUUAAGUGGGUCCGCCUUAAAUUUUGAGUUUGUGUGAUCGCUGUUGAUUGGUAGCUAAACUGCUGGUAAACUGUGUACAGACGUUUUACGUUCGAAUUGCAGAGAAAAAAAAAUUCUGGUAGCAACAUUGUGCAGUAUGAGCGAACCAUUUCACCAAAAAAAGGGGAAGCAAGGCAAGAUGUGGCUGCAGCGGUCUGCAGACGUGACUUCUGAUCAAAUUCGAACCUCCUAAAGAAACAAAGAGCGACAUUACAUUGCGGGAUGACGUCACCUGAAAAUGACCAAUAGCGCGGGGCGCUGCUGAGCUGUGUGCCAACCGCUCUUUUUUUCAUGCAGGAGACUCAAGUUGGCUUCGCUAACGGACACAGUUUUGAACUCGUAUAUUAGCGCCAUUUAUUGCUGCUUGGACCACAGCAUCUUCGGAAUUUGUAGACAUCCUGGCAGCUUACAAUUAGUUCGAGGUGAGGUAGUUCAGUCAUCAAGGGGCUACGUGCUUCAUUGUAAACUGCAUUGGAAUGAGCCACGUUGUUUCUUUCGGUGUAUUGAAGCAGGCUGCAAGCAGACAUACACCAGACACUGAAUUUGAGCAGAAACCAUAAGGAUACUCAAAGGACCUGUGACUCUCAGGAAAUGCAUCAAAUGAGAGGGACAGAUGAAACAGUUUCAAGACAAUGGCAGGAAAAACAUGCUGAAGAUUGAAACAAACCUUGGCUGGAAAUAUUUGAAGGUAUCUAGCCAGUCCACAAUGAAAGCUUCGUUGCACCCCAUGAGUCUUCUGGCAGAAAUGAUGGCGCCUGUAUUCUUUGGUUUCCCUAAACAUCACACCCUGCCUGUUUAUACGAGGCUCUUCAAUUAAGUCUGCACCCAAAGAUUCAAUAAGAGAGGGGAUCCUGCCAGUCCAAAGUGAACUCCUGAUGGACAUUGAAGUACUCCUGCAGAGCUUGUAUCUUCGACACCGUGUGCAUUAGAAACUCCACUGAGUCCUUUCCUUCACCAAGGCAGGACCCAGUGACUCAUUACUGUUGAUAGGUCAGGGGCAGGUAAUAUUUUGUUUCAUGUUUAUUCAUUCCUCCAUGGAUUACCAGCCAUAUAUAUGGACACAUGCUGUAUUCUCAAGAUCUAUGCUGUUUUGUAGGAAUAGAGAAAAUGAUAUGUUUAGUCUGUUUUCAAAUGGUAUGUCAAAUUUUCUCAUUGUUUAUCAGUAAUAUUCACUACCUUGGUUAUAUAUGAGCAUCUUUAGAUUUUUCUAUAUUUAGCGGUUGCAAAUGUAAAAUGUACGGUAAACCAUUUAUGUUCCUCAUAGUGUACUGUAUUUUUAGCGGUAAAAUACCGGCAGCUGUGGUUGCCAGGAAUUUACCGUAAAAUGUAUCUGGUCAAAAUAAAAUGCUGUAAUUUGUUAUACAA